rnacentral:rRNA from 1 species
UACGUAGGGGGGCAAGCGUUGUCCGGAUUUAUUGGGCGUAAAGAGCGUGUAGGCGGCCAGACAGGUCCGUUGUGAAAACUAGAGGCUUAACCUCUAAACGUCGAUGGAAACCGUCUGGCUAGAGUCCGGAAGAGGAGAAUGGAAUUCCUGGUGUAGCGGUGAAAUGCGCAGAUAUCAGGAAGAACACCCGUGGCUAAGGCGGUUCUCUAGUACGGUACUGACGCUGAGACGCGAAAGCGUGGGGAGCGAACAGG